AGGAUCAUUCGCAAUGGACGAAAGUCUGACGAUGCGACGCUGCGUGGAGGAUGAAGGCCUUCGGGUUGUAAACUCCUGUCAUAAGGGAAAAGGCGAUAGAUGUCAAUACCAUCUAAAGUUGAUUGUACUUUAAGAGGAAGGGACGGCUAACUCUGUGCCAGCAGCCGCGGUAAUACAGAGGUCCCUAGCGUUGUUCGGAUUUACUGGGCGUAAAGGGUACGUAGGCGGCGAGGCGUGUCGAGUGUGAAAUCUCCGGGCUCAACCCGGAAAGUGCGCUCGAAACUACCUUGCUGGAGUAUGGGAGAGGGAAGGGGAAUAUAGGGUGUAGCGGUGAAAUGCGUUGAUAUCCUAUAGAACACCGGAGGCGAAGGCGCCUUCCUGGAACAUAACUGACGCUAAGGUACGAAAGUCGGGGGAGCAAACA
rnacentral:rRNA from 1 species